GUGGUUACGGAGUCAGUAGUUUGGGAUCAGCAGAUUGUUUGUUGUUAACGCGCUAGCUGCUGCAAUAGCCGAGACACAGAAGCCCAGAUACAGCAAAACAAGAAGACAAGUCGACAGGGCUUAUUUUAAGAACUAGAGUUAACGUUGGAAUUGCAUUUUCUUGCCAAGGGGAUGAAAACCGAACCGAAGUUGGCUGGUUUUCUGUUUGACAUUGCCUGGAGACCUGCAUAACACAUGAAAAGGAUGUGGCUAUUGAUCUGUGGAGGUUCAGACGAGGCCUGCUGUCCCAGCACAAAGAACAGAACGUCUCGGGUCAGCUUACAUCUCCUGCUCACGAUGCGUCUGAUAGAGGAAAUCAGAGGGAUCUGUCUGAAGCCACCGGGCCCCUGGGGAACUGACAGGCACAGCUGUCUUCCUUGGUGAAUUGGCGGAAACAGCGACACUUCAGAUCUGAACUGGCCCAUGGGGAGAGGUACACUUUGACCAAAAUAAGCUGGCCGUGUCACCCUCUGUUCAUCCACACGAAUUGAAUUUUGAAACUGCUGAGCAUGUCACAUGACACCGUAUCGCUGUGUCAGCAUUUUGACAAAUGAAUUUGAUUGUUUGUAUUGGCACAUUUCAGAAGACAAAGUAAAGGAAUUGGAAAGCAAUCCAAGACAAAUUUCUCUUGUGGAUCCAUAUGAUAAAAAGCCUUUAUUGAAAGGGAAGCUUAAGUUCUAGUUUAGACUCAAAUUCAAAUUUUUUUGCAAGAUAACCUUUAUAAGCAUAUCUGUUCACUACUAACUUCUCCCUGUGGUAGCUCAAGAUAAACCUUAUUUUUGCUUUUAUGAUAAAAAAAAAGGACCAAGAAAAUGGAAAUUGAAUUACUAGAAAACGUUCAAAUCCCACAAUAUUAUGUAUUAUAAAGCUGAAUCCCAUGAAAAUAGCAGCUUUCGAGUCUGUCCUAUCCUGUGCCCAUUUGAGUCACCCAGGCUUGGUGGCAACCUAAUGACCUGCCCCUGGUCGCCAGCUAAAAAUACCCAGCCAGGAUCCACCUGCGCCGUCACCUUUGGUUCCAAGUGGCGCAGGAGGCCAGCUGUCUGUUGGCAUGCGCCGAGCGGGUGCUGCACGGCCUGCUCUCCGGACCCGUGUGUCCGAUCGUUUAGGGACCUGCAUACGGAUGGCUGGUUGCCAUGGCUGCGCGGACGGACGGCCGAGGAAACAGACGCCUGUCUCAGCCGGUCGCUGUGUCGCCGUGGCGUGGAGAGCACUGGCCCGCACGGACACCACCUCUUCUUAUCACUUUGCAGCGUGGCAGUCGAGCCACAUCUGAGGAGCUAUUUACUGUGCGAUUGGUGCAGGCAGGCUGCAAGGGGCCCAGAGGAAGUUGUGGCCGCAGAGCAGGACACACCUCUCCGCGCUUCGGCAACCCGCCGGCCAAUUGCCCCGCCUUCGCCACUGUCGCUUUCGUUGUG